AUCAUUCUUGGCCUUUUGGCUAAGAUCAAAUAUAGAGAUAUAUUCUUAUCAGUUUAACAUCUGUCCUCUAUCCAAGGACAACAUAUUAAAUGCAUUUUUAGAGCAGGGAUAUAGACUAGGAGCUCACCCCAUCCAUGCAGCUCAUCAACCCAGUAUUGCAGUACCUCUGGGAAUGGUGCACCCCCU